UAGACGAAAGCUACGCUAAUACCGCAUACGAUCUAUGGAUGAAAGCGGGGAUCGCAAGACCUCGCGCGAUUGGAGCGGCCGAUAUCAGAUUAGGUAGUUGGUGAGGUAAAGGCUCACCAAGCCGACGAUCUGUAGCUGGUCUGAGAGGACGACCAGCCACACUGGGACUGAGACACGGCCCAGACUCCUACGGGAGGCAGCAGUGGGAAUUUUGGACAAUGGGCGCAAGCCUGAUCCAGCAAUGCCGCGUGCAGGAUGAAGGCCUUCGGGUUGUAAACUGCUUUUGUACGGAACGAAACGGUGAGCUCUAAUACAGUUUGCUAAUGACGGUACCGUAAGAAUAAGCACCGGCUAACUACGUG
rnacentral:rRNA from 1 species